AGAGUUUGAUCAUGGCUCAGAAUGAACGCUGGCGGCGUGCUUAACACAUGCAAGUCGUGCGCGAAGGUGGCUUCGGCCACCGGAGAGCGGCGAACGGGUGAGUAACACGUGGGUGAUCUGCCUGGAAGCGGGGGAUAACCUGGGGAAACUCGGGCUAACACCGCAUACGUUCAUGGGGUUACGGCCUUAUGAAGAAAACCGGCCUCUACUUGUAAGCUGGUGCUUCCAGAGGAGCCCGCGGCUGAUUAGCUAGUUGGUAGGGUAAAAGCCUACCAAGGCGACGAUCAGUAGCCGGCCUGAGAGGGUGAUCGGCCACACUGGGACUGAGACACGGCCCAGACUCCUACGGGAGGCAGCAGUGGGGAAUAUUGGACAAUGGGCGCAAGCCUGAUCCAGCAACGCCGCGUGGAGGACGAAGGUCUUCGGAUCGUAAACUCCUGUCA
rnacentral:rRNA from 1 species